GAUGAAGAACGCAGCGAAAUGCGAUAAGUAAUGCGAAUUGCAGAAUUCAGUGAGUCAUCGAAUCUUUGAACGCACAUUGCGCCCCCCAGUAUUCUGGCGGGCAUGCCUGUUCGAGCGUCAUUUCAACCAUCAAGCCCUGCUUGUGUUGGGGUCCUGCGGCUGCCCGCAGGCCCUGAAAACCAGUGGCGGGCUCGCUAGUCACACCGAGCGCAGUAGCACAUCUCGCUCAGGGCGUGCGGCGGGCUCCAGCCGUUAAAGCACCCACCUUUCGCAAGGUUGACCUCGGAUCAGGUAGGAAUACCCGCUGAACUUAAGCAUAUCAAUAAGCGGAGGA
rnacentral:misc_RNA from 1 species